UAGAGGCCACAGGGGCCUAGAACUGCCAGAGAGGGCGCACACAGCAAUUUCCAUGGCGCAAGUCACAAGCAGAAGAGGGCCACUGGCCAACCUAAGUGUUAUGCAUACGUGAUGCAAAGCGGCCCUCUUGGUAAAGCAUUGGCGCACAGCCAAGUAUAAAUAAGUGCCAUUUUCUAACGAGAUUCAUUCAAGUGUGGCAGCUCUCCUGGACGGCGGGGCGUAUCACACCACCGGGCUGCAUACAGCAACAGAUGGGGCGCCAGCGUCCCAGUCCACGCCGGGUCGUUGGUUCGACUCUCUGAGACCGACGCGGGGUCCGCAGCAAGCCAGGCGGGCCACCCUUCAGCUCACUACUGCGGGCAGUCGUCUCGGCUCCCGACACACGCUGGACACUUCCCGAGGCAAGGGCAGCAGAUUCGGACGCCAGAUCGCGGGUGGUCAUUGCCGCCGCGUUCUCAGCUACGCCAGCGAGGAAGAAGCAGCAGCGGGGCCGGCCUACAGCUCCCGGCGGAGCAGCGCUGAAUGAAUGGGGAAGAAGACUGCUCAGCCGGCUGUCGGCACCUCCUGGCAAUCAGCCAUUACAUUUAGUGUCAUAAUAGCGGACGUCGUCUGUCCAGUAUGACGUUCGAGCCCACCACCUGCAUUAUGGUCACAAGAUGUGUUUCGUUUCCUACAUAAAACUCUGAGUUCAAGUAAACAACAGCAUACUCAGCCUCCUCGGUCUGCAACAACAAGAAUUCAACAAGAAAUUGAUGAGGCAGUACAGAGGGAGAGAGAACUGAAAGAAGCAAAUGGAAUUCAGACAUCUGAUGAAAAUAUUGUACAUAAGAGAUCUCAAACACCUGAUGCUGUCAACAGUUCCACAGAAGAGAGAGAGAGUGAUCCAAAUAGUUUCUCCUCUUCGAACAAUCUUUCAGAUUCACUAAAUGAAGG